rnacentral:rRNA from 1 species
AUGUUCAUGAUUUUGGAAAAAGUAUUGUCUAUUUUAGAAAAUGUUUGGAACAUCAUACAAUAUACCCGUAUUACAAACAUGUUUCUGUAUUUACAUAAAUGUUUGCAAAUCCAAAAAGAAUCCAUGAAAAAAAGUUCACAUAUUCAAAAAAAUCUUCAUGAAUUCAGAAAAUCUAUAAAAUUCCAUCAAAUGCUCAUGAUUUCAGAAUGUGUUCAGGAAUUUAGAAAAAAGCUCCCGAGUUUGAAAGACAAACCUGAAAUCCUAAAAAUUGUUCAAGAGAUUGUAAGAAAAAUUCUUGAAUUUUAA